AUUGAACGCUGGCGGCAGGCCUAACACAUGCAAGUCGAACGAGUGGCGGACGGGUGAGUAAUGUCUGGGAAACUGCCCGAUGGAGGGGGAUAACUACUGGAAACGGUAGCUAAUACCGCAUACCAUCGGAUGUGCCCAGAUGGGAUUAGCUGGUAGGUGGGGUAACGGCUCACAUAGGCGACGAUCCCUAGCUGGUCUGAGAGGAUGAAGAGCCAGACUGGGACUGUAACACGGUCCGUGCUCCUACGGUAGGCAGCGAGGGGGAAUAUUGCACAAUGGGCGCGAGCCUGAUGCAGCCAUGCCGCGUGUAUGAAGGAGGCCUGCGGGUUGUAAAGUACUUUCAUCGAGGAGGCGUUACUCGCAGAAGAAGCACCGGCUAACUCCGUGCCAGCAGCCGCGGUAAUAC
rnacentral:rRNA from 1 species